rnacentral:rRNA from 1 species
GACGAACGCUGGCGGCGUGCUUAACACAUGCAAGUCGAACGGAAAGGCCCUGCUUUUGUGGGGUGCUCGAGUGGCGAACGGGUGAGUAACACGUGAGUAACCUGCCCUUGACUUUGGGAUAACUUCAGGAAACUGGGGCUAAUACCGGAUAGGAGCUCCUGCUGCAUGGUGGGGGCUGGAAAGUUUCGGCGGUUGGGGAUGGACUCGCGGCUUAUCGGCUUGUUGGUGGGGUAGUGGCUUACCAAGGCUUUGACGGGUAGCCGGCCUGAGAGGGUGACCGGCCACAUUGGGACUGAGAUACGGCCCAGACUCCUACGGGAGGCAGCAGUGGGGAAUAUUGCACAAUGGGCGGAAGCCUGAUGCAGCAACGCCGCGUGCGGGAUGACGGCCUUCGGGUUGUAAACCGCUUUCGCCUGUGACGAAGCGUGAGUGACGGUAAUGGGUAAAGAAGCACCGGCUAACUACGUG